AUUGAACGCUGGCGGCAGGCCUAACACAUGCAAGUCGAACGGUAACAGGAAGAAGCUUGCUUCUUUGCUGACGAGUGGCGGACGGGUGAGUAAUGUCUGGGAAACUGCCUGAUGGAGGGGGAUAACUACUGGAAACGGUAGCUAAUACCGCAUAACGUCGCAAGACCAAAGAGGGGGACCUUCGGGCCUCUUGCCAUCGGAUGUGCCCAGAUGGGAUUAGCUAGUAGGUGGGGUAACGGCUCACCUAGGCGACGAUCCCUAGCUGGUCUGAGAGGAUGACAGGCGACCCUGGAACUGAGACACGGUCCAGACUCCUGAGGGAGGCAGCAGUGGGGAAUAUUGCGCAAUGGGCGGAAGCCUGAUGCAGCCAUGCCGAGUGUAUGAAGACGGCGUUCGGGUUGUAAAGUACGUUCAGCGGGGAGGAAGGGAGUACAGUUAAGACCUUUGCUCAUUGACGGUACCCGCAGAAGAAGCACCGGCUAACUCCGUG
rnacentral:rRNA from 1 species